GAUGAACGCUAGCGGCAGGCUUAAUACAUGCAAGUCGAGGGGCAGCAGGUCCCGCAGCAAUGCGGGAUGCUGGCGACCGGCAAACGGGUGCGGAACACGUACAGAACCUUCCUUUAAGUGGGGAAUAGCCCGGGGAAACCCGGAUUAAUACCCCGUAACAUAAUGAAGUGGCAUCACUUUAUUAUUAUAGCAGCAAUGCGCUUGAAGAUGGCUGUGCGGCUGAUUAGGUAGUUGGCGGGGUAACGGCCCACCAAGCCCACGAUCAGUAACUGGUGGGAGAGCACGACCAGUCACACGGGCACUGAGACACGGGCCCGACUCCUACGGGAGGCAGCAGUAAGGAAUAUUGGGCAAUGGACGCAAGUCUGACCCAGCCAUGCCGCGUGGAGGAUGAAGGUCCUCUGGAUUGUAAACUUCUUUUAUCUGGGAAGAAAUCUAUUUUUUCUAAAGUAGUUGACGGUACCAGAUGAAUAAGCACCGGCUAACUCCGUGCCAGCCGCCGCGGUAA
rnacentral:rRNA from 1 species